ACCUCUCGAAAACAACAACGAUGAUAAGAACUUUAUCGAACUGUAACUGUAACACUAAUACACUGAAACUGGCAAGAAGCUAUAAAAGACUUAAGUAGCCGUGGGCCAUAUGGCGUUACUCUGAGGCUUUUCGCUUUGUUCUUUUGAUAGGUUCAACAUGUUUGUUUUCUUUGUUUGUUUUUUCUCCUUAUAGUUCAUCUUCGAUCUACUUAUUUGCCAUUUAGUUGCCAGGGAGCGUUUUUUGAAUUAGAAUGUCAAUAAUGUGAGUGUCAGGCAAGGAAAAAGAGCUAGUCCCCACAGUGAAAACUAAACAUAGGGAAUCAUUUGAAAAUUUUCUAGAAACAAUAACGCCACAGGUAUACGCCUAGGAAAAACUUUUUAAAAUAGUUAACUUGCAUGUUGUACAAAUUCAUUGUCGCUUUACAAGCAACCUUUGAUCCUAGUCCUCGGCUGCAUGACCUAAAACGUCUUGUACUUGAGCUUUUCCACUUUCUGUUCUAAUUCUUUAUGGAGAACUGAUACCAUCGUCGUUAACUCCCUCUCAAAUAAGCCCCCGCCUAACCUUAAAUGGGCUUGAAAUAAAUAAGCCGCCUGGGGGGUUAAUAGCAACAACAACAACAACAACUUUAAUCAGUAUUACCAUUUUGUACAGGUGUUACCAAUUAAAAUAACAAUAAACAGCUAAAUUUAAGAAAAUGAAGAUAUAAUGAAAUGGUAGAAUGAACGAUGUUUAUUUCGUCUUUCAAAUGCGCGAAAGAUGAAAUUAGUAGCUAGCCUGCUGGUAUGUGAAUCGGUAUUGUUAAAAAGAAAACAGACUUUAUCCUCGAUACUGUAAUUUGUUCUAGAGGAUUGACGGUACCUUCUUUCUCCAGAUACUGUGAUACGGCAUGCAAAUGAAGAAAUCUACACAUUAACUUUCAGCUAAUUUGAUUGAGCCACCCUCGGUCGAGGGAAAUUUGACCUCGGAGCAACGGCGUGGCCGUGAGCUGCUGUACGGAACGCCGGUUGUUUUUCUGUGUUGCCUUUACUUCGUAUUAUGAAGAGGUUGACAGAGUCAAACAAUAACACCCAAAAAAAAUCGCCGAUUUCAAGCCAAAAAACACAGGAAUACAUCAAAAUUUGGCUAGUAAAAUAACUGCAAUUGUUGUAACAUUUCACUUAUCACCAGCUACUUGGCUAGGAAGUUAAAAAGUUAGUGUCGAGUCCUGUAUUUGAGAGACUGAAUUUUGUGAUUUUAAAGUGGAUGCAAUUAAGUGGUAAUUUAACUUUGUGUUGUACAACUUUGGUUUGGUCUAAAAUCAUACUUGUGAUUUCAAAUCAAACCCAUGCUACACACUCACUUGAUUUUGAAAUCAUCUGUCUGAUUUCAGACUAAAUUUCACUGUACUAUAUUUGAUUACCAUUAUUUGUUAAUACUGGAACUGUUAUCCAUGAAACGUAAACAGCUGCUUUUUGUAACCUCAGUAUUCCAGCUGCAGUUACUUCAAACCACUUGAAGGACCUAUUCAUUGGAUUAUUAAAAAGGAAUCCUCGUGACAGGCUGGAUUUUGCGGAUUUCUUUGCCCAUCCCUUCUUGACUGGCAGAGUUCCCCAUCGUGCAUGUAAGCGAGAUCAAAACUACUGUUGCUGCUAAUGUUCUAGAAGGGCAGGCAAGCAGUUAACAAGAACAAAGAAAGAAAAUGAAUGAGAUAUUUGCUCCAGAAAGAAAUCCAUUACUAUGAUCCUGUCUAUUAAAGGCUCAAUUAUUUUGGCUCUGAUCUUUCUGGAAAUUCUGAUUACUUUAACAUUUAAAAGCAACCCAGCUACUUAAGA